rnacentral:rRNA from 1 species
UACGUAGGGUGCAAGCGUUGUCCGGAAUUAUUGGCGUAAAGAGCUCGUAGGCGGUCUGUCGCGUCUGCUGUGAAAACCUGGGGCUUAACCCCGGGCCUGCAGUGGGUACGGGCAGACUAGAGUGUGGUAGGGGAGACUGGAAUUCCUGGUGUAGCGGUGAAAUGCGCAGAUAUCAGGAGGAACACCGGUGGCGAAGGCGGGUCUCUGGGCCGAUACUGACGCUGGAGGAAGCGAAGGCGUGGGAG